GGAGGAGUGGCAGAGUGGUCGAUUGCACCGGUCUUGAAAACCGGCGAUGUGCAAGCAUCCGUGGGUUCGAAUCCCACCUCCUCCGCCA
rnacentral:tRNA from 1 species